rnacentral:rRNA from 1 species
CAUGCAAGUCGAGCGAACAGAUGAGAAGCUUGCUUCUCUGAUGUUAGCGGCGGACGGGUGAGUAACACGUGGGUAACCUACCUAUAAGACUGGGAUAACUCCGGGAAACCGGGGCUAAUACCGGAUAAUAUUUUGAACCGCAUGGUUCGAUAGUGAAAGACGGUUUCGGCUGUCACUUAUAGAUGGACCCGCGCCGUAUUAGCUAGUUGGUAAGGUAACGGCUUACCAAGGCGACGAUACGUAGCCGACCUGAGAGGGUGAUCGGCCACACUGGAACUGAGACACGGUCCAGACUCCUACGGGAGGCAGCAGUAGGGAAUCUUCCGCAAUGGGCGAAAGCCUGACGGAGCAACGCCGCGUGAGUGAUGAAGGUCUUCGGAUCGUAAAACUCUGUUGUUAGGGAAGAACAAAUUUGUUAGUAACUGAACAAGUCUUGACGGUACCUAACCAGAAAGCCACGGCUAA